rnacentral:rRNA from 1 species
CCUACGGGAGGCAGCAGUGAGGAAUAUUGGUCAAUGGACGAGAGUCUGAACCAGCCAAGUAGCGUGAAGGAUUACUGCCCUAUGGGUUGUAAACUUCUUUUAUAAAGGAAUAAAACGAGGCACGUGUGCCUUUUUGCAUGUACUUUAUGAAUAAGGAUCUGCUAACUCCGUGCCAGCAGCCGCUGUAAUACGUAGGUGGCAAGCGUUGUCCGGAUUUAUUGGGUGUAAAGGGCGUGUAGACGGGCUGUUAAGUCAGUUGUGAAAUUCUGGGGCUCAACCCCCGAAGUGCAUUUGAUACUGGUAGUCUUGAGUAUAGUAGAGGCAGGCGGAAUGCGUAGUGUAGCGGUGAAAUGCUUAGAUAUUAGGAAGAACCCCGAUGGCGAAGGCAGCCUACUAAACGGCAACUGACGUUGAGGCGCGAAAGCGUGGGUAUCAAACAGGAUUAGAUACCCCUGUAGUC